CUGGUUGAUCCUGCCAGGAGGGCAAGUCUGGUAUCUGGUUGAUCCUGCCAGUAGUCAUAUGCUUGUCUCAAAGACUAAGCCAUGCAUGUCUAAGUAUAAAUGAUAUACAGUAAAACUGCGAAUGGCUCAUUAAAACAGUUAUAGUUUAUUUGGUAAUCGAAUUUACAUGGAUAACCGUGGUAAUUCUAGAGCUAAUACAUGCUGUAAAGCCCGACUUCUCGGAAGGGCCGUAUUUAUUAGAUAACAGACCAAUAUUCUUCGUGUCUAUUGUGGUGAAUCAUAGUAACUAAUCGGAUCGCAUGGGCUUGCCCGCGACAAACCAUUCAAGUUUCUGCCCCAUCAGCUUUCGAUGGUAGUGUAUUGGACUACCAUGGCUUUUACGGGUAACGGAGGAUUAGGGUUCGAUUCCGGAGAGGGAGCCUGAGAAACGGCUACCACAUCUAAGGAAGGCAGCAGGCGCGUAAAUUACCCAAUUCUGAUUCAGAGAGGUAGUGACAAGAAAUAACGGGUCGGGAUUAUGUCCCGGGACUGCAAUGAGAUGAAUUUAUACCCCUUUUCGAGUAACAAUUGGAGGGCAAGUCUGGU
rnacentral:rRNA from 1 species